GAGGUCGAACAACGCGAUUCUUUCUUGCGACGUCUUCUCCUUCAAACGCCUUAAUUGCACCGCUCACCGCAGUUACAAACGCGAACCAGGACACAUCUGACUCGGGGCAAUUGGUGGUGGUGGUGGGGGGGGGGGGUUCACAUGACACAAAACGAUCCCUGACCGCUAACGUGGCGGAUCGGAUGGUGCUGACGGCAUUCCCCUCAAACACCAUUUGCAGACUUUCUAUUACGCAGUUCCAAAAGCACGAACCUAAAUGGGCCGCACAGGAGGCAACGCAUAACAUCGGGCUACUUUUGGGCUCGUAACUGGUGGCCUUCGGGCUCCAAAGCGUAUUUGAAUCGCUGGUCACGCGCCCGCGGGAAGGCUGGCGGUUAAGUCGGGCGGCUGCAGGGAGCGGUACCCUGAGGCGACUUGCCGGAGCGCCCCAGAGCGCCUCAGUUGGGAGGACCGACGGACCCGGGGAAGGAGCCGCGAUGACGAAUCGUUCCGGCGUCUGCAGAAAAAACACAACGCCCACAGGCGGGGCCGCUUUUCACGGUGAAACACCCGAUGAAGCAGAACUUGGGAGAUGUCAGGGGAGCGUGACAAGGCACUGGGUCCCCAACAUUCCCUUAUCAGGAGGUAGACAGCUUGAUCAGAUUGCGGGCAAGAUGCAUGAAAGCAGCUCAGAGUGAUUUCCUUUUAGAUUUCCCUUUUUUUACUGUGGGUAACUGCUCUAAAAGUCGAUCUCCCCAGUGGUUUAACUGACACCAGGAACAUCCCCUUUGGAGAACUAUAAAUAUGAACUGAAUACUCACCGCUGUGGCCUAUCAUGUUGUACAACAUAGUUUUAUAUUAGAAUGUAUUAACAUUUGCUGCAUUAUUGUCCAUUUAAACUAGUAUGACAACUUGUAUUUUUGAAUGAACACAUGAAAAAUAAAUAUUACUUUUUAUGAUUUAUAACUUCCCUUUCUUCCAUUCUAGAUUCUCACCAACAACACACAUAUCAGUCAAGAGCAUCCGGUGGCAACCAUCACUUGGGGUUUUUUCAAUCCUGUUUUUGAACAAGGAAGUGAUGGUUAUUUUGCCCUCUUUUCCCCCUCCCCCUAAAAGUAUUUGAGACUUUCCCUGACAAAUCUGGUAUUGGGAACCUACCAAAUGGAGAGUUCCUGCCUGGCCCGCUCUACCAUCCUUUCUGCCCCCACCCUAUGGAACUCCAUCGAAUAUUUCCUUCGCCUCGC